rnacentral:rRNA from 1 species
CUGAAAUUCGCCUUCAUGAAGCCGGAAUUGCUAGUAAUGGCAGGUCAGCAUACUGCCGUGAAUACGUUCCCGGGCCUUGUACACACCGCCCGUCACACCAUGAGAGUUGGGAAUACCCGAAGCCUGUGAGCUAACGUAAGAGGCAGCAGUCGAAGGUAGAAUCAAUGAUUGGGGUGAAGUCGUAACAAGGUAUC